AGAAGAACCACCUACCUGCCCGUAACCACAGCACCUAUGGUAUAUAUAAAGGUUUGACAUCGAACAGAUGUAAAGCAUUUGGCAGCAACAGCAGAGACUUUGUUCACUGGUAAAAUCAGCAGACGUCCUCAGAAUGGCUCAUACAGUGGGAAAUUGGUCACCACCAAGGCCUGCUACUGCAGAAGCUCAGGAGAUUUGCACUGAGGUACAGCGUGGAGUUGAAGAAAAGACAAAGAGGACCUAUAAGGAAUUUUUUGCGACUGAAUACAGGGGUAAUGACAGUGCAUUUCCAUGGACCAUGCUCAUCAAGGUUCAGGUGGAAGAAGGGCAAUACCUUCAUUUGCUGAUUUACCUCAUGUAUGUGGGCUUACGGUUCCCCUGGAAGAUCACACUUAGGGGGGUACAAGAGCACCACAAAAAACAUGAUCCUCUUGAGCCAUUUACGCCAAACCUCUAAUUUAAAGUGGGUUUCAACUUGUAAUAGGAUCUGGUACAAAAAAACAAGAACAGUUUUAUAUCCUGAGAUUAAACUACAACAAU